AUUUUUUUUUGCAACUAGAGGGGGAAGCACAGAGCUAAAAAUAAAACGAAAAGAUCAGUAUCUGUCAGUCUGACAGCUGAUUGGCUGCUCGGAGAUGCAUAUAAUUACCAGCAACUGGCGCUGGGUAGGCAAAGCCGGGAGAAACUGCUGAGACGAGAUGGAUGCCAGCGAGAAAGACUGAAGCCCCGGUGCCUUGGAAUGCACGUGUGGUCCUUUCCACACUGUCCUCUUGGCCCCUCGGGGGCAGCCCUCCUCAUUGUGGGAAGGGCUGAAGGCGGUGGAAAUCAUCUGGAGACUAUCUUGCAGGCCGACUACCAUGUGAUGGCUACAAGGACACAAGUAGCUUUGCCUCCUGGAGACACAGAGAAAAAUUCCAUGACCCGUGUGAACCCAUGUCGGGGAAGACUGAAGUGGGGUGUAAACUCAGGAUGGAUAAAUGCCAAAGAUACAGUAAAUAGGUGAGAUGAAAUAUUUAUUUUGUAUGCAUUAGCAAUAUGAGGGGGGCUUCCCUGGUGGUCCAGUGGUUAAGAAUUGACCCUCCACUGCAGGGGGCACGAAUUGGAUCCCUGGUCUGGGAAGAUCUCACAUGCCGCAGAGCAACUAAGCCCCAUGCACCGCAACUACUGAGCCCACGUGCUGCAACUGAGGUAUGAAGCCCGCACCCCUUAGAGGCUGUGCUCUGCAACAAGAGAGGCCACCGCAGGGAGAAGCCCACACCACGGCAGAGCAGCGCAUUGUUGCCGCAGUGAAGAUCACGCAGCAAUGAAGACCAGCGCAGCCAUAAAUAAAAUAACAGGUAAAAUUCUAAAAUACA
rnacentral:lncRNA from 1 species